UGGGGAAUAUUGGACAAUGGGCGAAAGCCUGAUCCAGCCAUGCCGCGUGUGUGAAGAAGGUCUUCGGAUUGUAAAGCACUUUAAGUUGGGAGGAAGGGCAGUAAGUUAAUACCUUGCUGUUUUGACGUUACCGACAGAAUAAGCACCGGCUAACUCUGUGCCAGCAGCCGCGGUAAUACAGAGGGUGCAAGCGUUAAUCGGAAUUACUGGGCGUAAAGCGCGCGUAGGUGGUUUGUUAAGUUGGAUGUGAAAUCCCCGGGCUCAACCUGGGAACUGCAUUCAAAACUGACUGACUAGAGUAUGGUAGAGGGUGGUGGAAUUUCCUGUGUAGCGGUGAAAUGCGUAGAUAUAGGAAGGAACACCAGUGGCGAAGGCGACCACCUGGACUGAUACUGACACUGAGGUGCGAAAGCGUGGGGAGCAAACAGGAUUAGAUACCCUUGUAGUCCCUGAGCGGGCUGGCAAGGCGCAU
rnacentral:rRNA from 1 species